rnacentral:rRNA from 1 species
UACGGGGGGAGCAAGCGUUGUUCGGAUUUACUGGGCGUAAAGCGUGCGCAGGCGGUUGUGCAAGACAGAUGUGAAAUCCCCGGGCUUAACCUGGGAAUGGCAUUUGUGACUGCACGGCUAGAGUGUGUCAGAGGGGGGUAGAAUUCCACGUGUAGCAGUGAAAUGCGUAGAUAUGUGGAGGAAUACCGAUGGCGAAGGCAGCCCCCUGGGAUAACACUGACGCUCAUGCACGAAAGCGUGGGGAGCAAACAGG